GUUACUUUGGCAGAUAAGUGCAGUAAACUUAGAAUUUACUUAUAUAUACAUUAAAUAUUAUAUAAGUAACA
rnacentral:tRNA from 1 species